UAGGGAAUCUUCCACAAUGGACGGAAGUCUGAUGGAGCAACGCCGCGUGAGCGAAGAAGGUUUUCGGAUCGUAAAGCUCUGUUGUGAGGGAAGAACAAGUACAGGAGUAACUGCCUGUGCCUUGACGGUACCUCAUUAGAAAGCCACGGCUAACUACGUGCCAGCAGCCGCGGUAAUACGUAGGUGGCAAGCGUUGUCCGGAAUUAUUGGGCGUAAAGCGCGCGCAGGCGGCCUUUUAAGUCUGAUGUGAAAGCCCACGGCUCAACCGUGGAAGGUCAUUGGAAACUGAGAGGCUUGAGUACA
rnacentral:rRNA from 1 species